UACGAAGGGGGCUAGCGUUGCUCGGAAUUACUGGGCGUAAAGGGCGCGUAGGUGGCGGUGUUAGUCAGGCGUGAAAGCCCUGGGCUCAACCUGGGGACUGCGCUUGAUACGGCAUUGCUAGAGGAUGGAAGAGGGUCGCGGAAUUCCCAGUGUAGAGGUGAAAUUCGUAGAUAUUGGGAAGAACACCGGUGGCGAAGGCGGCGACCUGGUCCAUUACUGACGCUGAGGCGCGACAGCGUGGGGAGCAAACAGG
rnacentral:rRNA from 1 species